rnacentral:rRNA from 1 species
AACGCUAGCGGCAGGCCUAACACAUGCAAGUCGAGGGGCAGCACAAAGAUAGUUUACUAUUUUGGUGGCGACCGGCGCACGGGUGAGUAACGCGUAUGCAACCUACCUUAUACAGGAGUAUAGCCCGAAGAAAUUCGGAUUAAUCCUCCAUAGUAUUUUCUAAUGGCAUCAUUUGGAAAAUUAAAGCUUCGGCGGUAUAAGAUGGGCAUGCGUCCUAUUAGCUAGAUGGUAAGGUAAUGGCUUACCAUGGCUACGAUAGGUAGGGGGCCUGAGAGGGUGAUCCCCCACACUGGUACUGAGACACGGACCAGACUCCUACGGGAGGCAGCAGUGAGGAAUAUUGGGCAAUGGAGGCAACUCUGACCCAGCCAUGCCGCGUGCAGGAAGAAUGCCCUAUGGGUUGUAAACUGCUUUUAUUUAGGAAUAAACCUCUCUACGUGUAGAGAGCUGAAUGUACUAAACGAAUAAGCACCGGCUAACUCCGUGCCAGCAGCCGCGGUAAUACGGAGGGUGCAAGCGUUAUCCGGAAUCAUUGGGUUUAAAGGGUCCGCAGGCGGACGUAUAAGUCAGUGGUGAAAUCCUGCAGCUUAACUGCAGAACUGCCAUUGAUACUGUACGUCUUGAAUUCGGUCGAAGUGGGCGGAAUGUGUAGUGUAGCGGUGAAAUGCAUAGAUAUUACACAGAACACCGAUAGCGAAGGCAGCUCACUAGGCCUGGAUUGACGCUCAGGGACGAAAGCGUGGGGAUCAAACAGGAUUAGAUACCCUGGUAGUCCACGCUGUAA